GCCUCCUUAGCUCAGCUGGCCAGAGCACCGCUCUUGUAAAGCGUAGGUCGUCGGUUCGAAUCCGACAGGGGGCUCCA
rnacentral:tRNA from 1 species